rnacentral:rRNA from 1 species
UACAGAGGGGGCCAGCGUUAUUCGGAAUUAUUGGGCGUAAAGGGCGCGUAGGCGGAUUGUUAAGUCAGGGGUGAAAUCCUGGAGCUCAACUCCAGAACUGCCUUUGAUACUGGCGAUCUCGAGUCCGGGAGAGGUGAGUGGAACUGCGAGUGUAGAGGUGAAAUUCGUAGAUAUUCGCAAGAACACCAGUGGCGAAGGCGGCUCACUGGCCCGGUACUGACGCUGAGGUGCGAAAGCGUGGGGAGCAAACAGG